rnacentral:tRNA from 1 species
GAGGACUUAGCUUAAUUAAAGUUUUUGAUUUGCAUUCAACAGAUGUAAGGUGAUGUCUUGCAGUCCUUG